rnacentral:rRNA from 1 species
GACGAACGCUGGCGGCGCGCCUAACACAUGCAAGUCGAACGGAGCUUUGAGAGCUUGCUUUUAAAGCUUAGUGGCGAACGGGUGAGUAACGCGUGAGUAACCUGCCCUGGAGUGGGGGACAACAGUUGGAAACGACUGCUAAUACCGCAUAAGCCCACGGCCCGGCAUCGGGCUGAGGGAAAAGGAUUUAUUCGCUUCAGGAUGGACUCGCGUCCAAUUAGCUAGUUGGUGAGGUAACGGCCCACCAAGGCGACGAUUGGUAGCCGGACUGAGAGGUUGAACGGCCACAUUGGGACUGAGACACGGCCCAA